CACAACUCACCCACACACACAAAGAACAGAAAGAAGAACAGGAAGAAAGGGAAAAGAAAAGAGAGUGCGGGUUGCGAGAGAAGAGGGGAGGGAGCAGCACGCCACCGCCGUCGCACACCACCGCCACGCUGCCAGGGCUGUUGCGUUGUCGACGAAGAGGAGAGAGAAAGGUCGAACGCAGGGAGCUUUCCCCGUUGCCUCGCCGUUUUGCCGUCGCACUCACUACGAAUCGCUGCCGUCGUGCUCGCGGGCAUGGGGAAAACCAUCGCUGCCGGCUUCGUUAGGUCUCUGACGCCGAAUCCGUCCUUGCCACCGUGCUGCGCAAAGCCAGCCGCCACCGUGGAGAGAAUGGGAGACCGCGUUCAGUCGUCACCACCGCACCGUGUCCUGUUGCUGUGGCCAUUGCGCCUGAGUGUUGCCGUCAAGCUCGCAGCUACUGUCACCAUGGAGACUGCCACCAUCAUCUCUGAAGUCGCGUCGUCGGUUAGGGCAGGCAGAGGAGAAGAACAAUGGUGGCUGUUUUCUUAGCCAUCGCUGUCAAAGGAAGCUCUGCCAUGGUUGUCUCUUUCGUCACUACCACGAUCGCCGAUCCGAUUUCCACUCUCAAAACCGUAACUCCUUUCACCCUUGUUCUGUUUUAAACUUUGUUUCUCUGCUAUGUUCCUGUUUUACUCAUGGUAGUAUAUACCUCUAAUUUAGUUCAGUCCCUUUGCUUCACUUGUUUCUCUACUGCAAUCAUUUGGAAUACUGGCGUUGAUGUUAUUACAAAUCUGUUAGAGUUGCUUCCCCAGGAUAGUAAUUGCUUCUAAUUUUCAUCCAAUUUGGAUUCCUGUUUUGCUGCAACCAUGGUACUGCUGUGAGAGCUAACACAGCUGAUGUCCUGAUUAUGUUAAAACACAAGACUGUUGCUAUCUCGGUUGAGCUUGUUGUGUGGUUAGUAGUGGUCUAGCUAGCUGUCUCGCCGUAAUUUUGCCUCCUGUUUCUUUUAAUUACGACAUCGAGGAGUGCUGAAAUGAUGACUACAUGCUACCUUGAGGACUCAAGAAUAUUUUGAUUCAUAGAGACACUGGUUUAUGUUAGAACUUUUAACUUUUGGUUGAACUUAUGCAAGACAUAUGACUUAUAGAACUUAUCAAUGUACUCACUAAGGUUAUUUAUUUUAAAACAAUUUUACCUAAAA